GACGAACGCUGGCGGCGUGCCUAAUACAUGCAAGUCGAGCGAAGUUUUUCUGGUGCUUGCACUAGAAAAACUUAGCGGCGAACGGGUGUGUAACACGUAAAGAACCUGCCUCAUAGACUGGGACAACUAUUGGAAACGAUAGCUAAUACCGGAUAACAGUAUUUCUCGCAUGAGAGAUAUUUAAAAGUUGGUUAUGCUAACACUAUGAGAUGGCUUUGCGGUGCAUUAGCUAGUUGGUGGGGUAAAGGCCCACCAAGGCGACGAUGCAUAGCCGACCUGAGAGGGUGAUCGGCCACACUGGGACUGAGACACGGCCCAGACUCCUACGGGAGGCAGCAGUAGGGAAUCUUCCGCAAUGGGCGAAAGCCUGACGGAGCAACGCCGCGUGAGUGAAGAAGGAUUUCGGUUCGUAAAGCUCUGUUGUUAGGGAAGAAUGGAUAUGUAGUAACUAUACAUGUAAGAGACGGUACCUAACCAGAAAGCCACGGCUAACCACGUG
rnacentral:rRNA from 1 species